GAUGAAGAACGUAGCGAAAUGCGAUACGUAAUGUGAAUUGCAGAAUUCAGUGAAUCAUCGAAUCUUUGAACGCAUAUUGCGCUCUCUGGUAUUCCGGAGAGCAUGCUUGUUUGAGUAUCAGUAAACACCUCAACUUCCAUAUCAUUUUUGAAAUGGGAGUUGGACUUGAGUGAUCCCAACGCUUUUCCUCACCGAAAAGUGGCGGGUUACUUGAAAUGCAGGUGCAGCUGGACUUUUCUCUGAGCUAUAAGCAUAUCUAUUUAGUCUGCCUAAAAAACAGAUUAUUACCUUUGCUGCAGCUAACAUAAAGGAGAUUAGUUCUUGUGCUGACUGAUGCAGGAUUCACAAAGACAGGCUUCGGCCGACUUUGUAAACUCGAUCUCAAAUCAAGUAAGACUACCCGCUGAACUUAAGCAUAUCAAUAAGCGGAGGA
rnacentral:misc_RNA from 1 species